CAGACUCUCGGGGGCUAGCUCUGACAACCUGCCAUUUCGGAGCCCUGACAGGGCCCAGGGUUUCCCCAUUCCCUGCCUCUGCCAGCUUAACUGGCAUCCUGGGAGUGUCCUCAGUGGCCACCACACUGUGCCAGAGUCUACUGUUUGCAACGCUCAUGGGGAAGAUCUGGAAAUGGGAGCAGAAUGGAAACUUGGACGCCACUAGCAUGAGCUGAGUGAGGACCCUGACACAUAGUUUCACCAGGGAUGGGCUAGUUGUGCAGUGGUAACAGAUGACCUCCCCAAUGGCAAUGACGAGGCAAGUUUACGUCUUGAUCACGCCUAAGAAAAGUACUCUUUCACUGUUAAUUUAGAUGCUGGAUGUCUGAUUAAUGAGACAGAGACAGAGAAGGAGGGAGAGAGAGAUCUAUUCUGUGCGAAGUAAUCUCACACAAAAAGUUUUCAAUCAACAAAGUUUUCUAAUAAGUGGUAAUAAAUCACAAUAAUGCUG